rnacentral:tRNA from 2 species
GGGGGUGUAGCUUAGUGGUAGGGCGCAUGCUUAGCAUGCAUGAGGCUCUGGGUUCAAUCCCCAGCACCUCCA